GACGAACGCUGGCGGCGUGCCUAACACAUGCAAGUCGAGCGGAGUCAGUAAGAGGAAGUUUUCGGAUGGAAUCUUAUUGAUUUAGCGGCGGACGGGUGAGUAACGCGUGAGCGACCAACCUUGCACAGGGGGAUAACGGACCGAAAGGUUCACUAAUAACGCAUGAGACCACGGUGUUGCAUGACACAGUGGUCAAAGGAGCAAUCCGGUGCAAGACGGGCUCGCGUCCGAAUAGGUAGUUGGAGGGGUAACGGCCCACCAAGCCUAUGAGCGGUAGCCGACCUGAGAGGGUGAUCGGCCACAUUGGAACUGAGAUACGGUCCAAACUCCUACGGGAGGCAGCAGUGGGGAAUAUUGGGCAAUGGGGGAAACCCUGACCCAGCAACGCCGCGUGAAGGAAGAAGGUUUUCGGAUUGUAAACUUCUGUCCUUGGUGAAGAGAAGAAGACGGUAGCCAAGGAGGAAGCCCCGGCUAACUACGUGCCAGCCGCCGCCGUAA
rnacentral:rRNA from 1 species